rnacentral:rRNA from 2 species
GGGUUGUGAGGUUAAGCGACUAAGCGUACACGGUGGAUGCCCUGGCAGUCAGAGGCGAUGAAGGGCGUACUAAUCUGCGAUAAGCGCCGGUAAGGUGAUAUGAACCGUUAUAACCGGCGAUACCCGAAUGGGGAAACCCAGUGUGAUUCGUCACACUAUCAUUAACUGAAUCCAUAGGUUAAUGAGGCGAACCGGGGGAACUGAAACAUCUAAGUACCCCGAGGAAAAGAAAUCAACCGAGAUUCCCCCAGUAGCGGCGAGCGAACGGGGAGGAGCCCAGAGCCUGAAUCAGCAUGUGUGUUAGUGGAAGCGUCUGGAAAGGCGCGCGAUACAGGGUGACAGCCCCGUACACAAAAGCGCAUGUGCUGUGAGCUCGAUGAGUAGGGCGGGACACGUGGUAUCCUGUCUGAAUAUGGGGGGACCAUCCUCCAAGGCUAAAUACUCCUGACUGACCGAUAGUGAACCAGUACCGUGAGGGAAAGGCGAAAAGAACCCCGGCGAGGGGAGUGAAAAAGAACCUGAAACCGUGUACGUACAAGCAGUGGGAGCACCCUUUGGGUGUGACUGCGUACCUUUUGUAUAAUGGGUCAGCGACUUAUAUUCUGUAGCAAGGUUAACCGAAUAGGGGAGCCGGAGGGAAACCGAGUCUUAACCGGGCGUUAAGUUGCAGGGUAUAGACCCGAAACCCGGUGAUCUAGCCAUGGGCAGGUUGAAGGUUGGGUAACACUAACUGGAGGACCGAACCGACUAAUGUUGAAAAAUUAGCGGAUGACCUGUGGCUGGGGGUGAAAGGCCAAUCAAACCGGGAGAUAGCUGGUUCUCCCCGAAAGCUAUUUAGGUAGCGCCUCGUGAAUUCAUCUCCGGGGGUAGAGCACUGUUUCGGCUAGGGGGCCAUCCCGGCUUACCAACCCGAUGCAAACUGCGAAUACCGGAGAAUGUUAUCACGGGAGACACACGGCGGGUGCUAACGUCCGUCGUGAAGAGGGAAACAACCCAGACCGCCAGCUAAGGUCCCAAAGUCAUGGUUAAGUGGGAAACGAUGUGGGAAGGCCCAGACAGCCAGGAUGUUGGCUUAGAAGCAGCCAUCAUUUAAAGAAAGCGUAAUAGCUCACUGGUCGAGUCGGCCUGCGCGGAAGAUGUAACGGGGCUAAACCAUGCACCGAAGCUGCGGCAGCGACACUGUGUGUUGUUGGGUAGGGGAGCGUUCUGUAAGCCUGUGAAGGUGUGUCGUGAGGC